CUCUUCACUCAAGUUUAAAUAACGAAGCCGCCUCUGACGUGAGAUGACGGGCUGUUCCUGCCCGCCUUCAGCCGGUCUAUGCGGAGUGGGAGGAGACCUGGAGGACCGGAGCACCGGAGGAGGAGGAGGAGGAGGAGGAGGAGGGGACCGAGCCGGCAGUGUGCUGCUGUGACAUGACAACUGUGGACGUUUUACUGGUGUCCAGUAAUCAUGUUCAGUCCAAAAUCCAUCAUCCCCAUCAGUGAACAUACAGAUGGUCGUCAUUCGACAGACCCUGGGCAGCGUCUAAGAAGUCCUUUUAAACCCCUACAAAUCUAUCUACUCUAUGGUUUUUGCCUCUGCGUUACGUAGCAAAGAAGAACCUGAGGGGGCAGCAGGUAAG